UCACUCUCAUAACUGAGCUCCUGGAAUGGAUAAAAAGUCAGAUUGCUUGUUGACUUGCCCACUAACCUCAGUCGCUCUGUCUGAAGUGUCAGAUUCUAGUUCAGGAAUACCUGCUUCCCAUCUGACUCAGUAAUUCUCCAACAUGUCAGUUGUAUCACAAGUGGGAAAACUGUCUUCUCCGUUGCCUUUUGGCUACUCCCUUCAGGAGGAGUCACGUUGGAUCAUGAUUGAACAUAACCCUCUUCAUUUACCCGGGCUUAGAACCGGCAAACAAAAACGCUGUUCCUCCUUGUGGUUGCAUCAAAGCUAAUGAAUCUAGAGCUUGAACUGCAGUGAAAAAGUGUUUGGAACUCAGGAUUUGGAACAUGUUUGAUGUGAAAAGCAGCGAGGCUGCUUGGACACAUAUUGAGCUGGGAAAUCCGAUAGUGUUGAUUUGUGUUUUUUCAUGAUCACUGCAGACUCCGGCCACUCUGGAGGCUGGCCAGAUGACACCUGAGGAACCUGAGAACACCUGAGGACAACUCUGGACUUGGACAGCUUCAGUCACUAGCUUUGACUCUAACUCUGGAAAGGUUCAGAUCAGAAACGUGUCAGUGCUUCAGAAAUGCUCACAUCUGCAGAUGACACGAUGCUCUUCAGUAUGCAGGAUCAUCAGGAUCAUCUUCACUUCUAAGCUAAAAAAUGAUUUUGUUUUUUUGCAACAACAUUGAUCUCUGCUGACCUGUUGGCAGCCUGGGUGAGUCACAUGACUGGGUCACUCAGCGGGAUGGGGGUCUGGCAGCAGGAAGCGGUUCAGGCUGAUCUGGGUCACCGAAAGAGCAAAUGUGGUGGGAAUGUGUCUCAUAGACAAAACGUGUUGGGGUGUGUGUGUUUGUGUGAGCCAUCUGUCCUGACAAGAUUACUGGACUCAGACAAGAAGUCUGACUGGACGAGAUUAGAGAAUGAAUAUAGGGCAGGAGAAAAGGCAGAGACCAGGAAGGUGAGACAGACGAAGGAUGACGGAGAGCAGAGACAAAGAUCUUGAAUCGAAACGAAAAAUGAAAAUAAGUUCUUCUUUUACCAUAAUUCAAAUGCACUCAGUCCAAAAGAAAACAUAUUUAUUACACAGUCAGUGAGUGUGAGUGGAAAACACAAGUUAAGCACUGGAACAGAGCAAGCUCACUGCGUUGUCAUGGUAACAGGAUCCUACUUUCGCUUUCCCAGCUCAGGUCCACAUCUCUCUCAGAGGCUCUCGGUUUGACACGUAGUGUUGAAAACAUCAACAGGCUGUUGGAUGAGUCUCUUUUCAUGCUCGUGCACACACAUCCGCCCACACGCCCAACAUUCCCGCUGUGAACUCCCAAGUUUCACAUCCUUAUCUUUGCGGAUGGAUGUUUGGCUGGAAAAGAGUCCCCAAGCUGUUGCCUUGGCAACUCUGAAGAAUUUCUCUGUGGCUAUGACAACCGGUGAUGCACAUCCGGUAUGGUCGGCGUAUUUUUAUUUAGAUGCCUAGCAGGAGGCUGUUGCAUGUGUUGGUAUUUGUUUGAGCUUUUGUUUCUGUGAUUGUUUUAAUUUUCUCUGACAGAGUAAAAGUUUUCAUUUAUGCUCAUAAAAUAUGGAGUGGAGUUUUUUCUACUGUUUUAAAGAUUGAUGCAUUGAAUCUUUAAAUAACUUUGCUAACUACUAUUCUGCAUCUCGUGAUGGUUAAAUAUGUUAUGGGCAUAAAUUGAAGACUAAAAAUGUUGCUUUUGUAAUUUUCAAUCAAAUUCUCUGAUGUGUGGUCGGUGCAAUCAUCUGUUGCUAAGGUAAACUUUAUGGCCCCCUAGCAACAAUGUUCAGCUGGUAGUGCUGGGCGAUAUGGAAAAUAAUUUAUAAAGAUUUUCUCUUAGGUGGCUAUGCUAGCCAGUCGCCUGGUGGACAGCGUAGUGAGUUCUGCUGCCCAGGGUCUGGCAAAGCAAGCAAGUGCUGCCGCCCAGGAGUCAGCAGAGCUAGCAGGGUCGCUAUCCAGGCCUCCAGUCCCUAGGCAGCGAAGCCAAUGUGGGCAAACACAGCUGGGGCCACCACGGAAACUGUGGACAAACCCAAAUGGGGCCCACAUUCUCUGCCCACUUUUGAACCAUGUUGCGCCCACUUGGCCUUGCUGGCUGGGCAGCUGGUAUUCACGUUCUUUAUGUAGGUCCUUCAAUAGUUAAAACUUGGAUAUGCAAAGGAAAAUAUUUGAAAAAAUUCAUGCACAGUUGUGUAGUGCUGAGGUUUUCUUUUGAGAGCCACAUAGGCUAACAGAAAAAGUGUAACAAUCACAGGGUGUGUCUAAACGUAACAAUGAUGUUUUUCCAGAAAGAGACACACACAAUCACAUUUUAAUAAUCCCUUUCUGUAAUCUUCACAGAAAAAAAUAAAUCUAAAAUGUUCCAAAAAUUAAAGCAAUAAAUAGAGAAUCCUCACCUGUCAUGGUUCUGUUGAGACAUUGGAGGGCUGCAGCUCCUCUCAUAGGGUUCUUAUUAGUUAUCUAUAUCUUUUGGCUCUUUAGGUUGUUUUAUUUUGUCUCUUCUGUGACCUGACACAGUCUUAGUGACUACAUAAGUAGAUUUCCUCCAGAUGGUUCAUGAUAUGGUUUAAAGUGACUCCCCACCACAUGAAGAUCCACAGUUGGAGUUUUUCUGGUUGAACGAUGGAAAGUGACAUUUAGAAGGUUUUGCAGAACCACCUGGUUGGGCGUGCACAUCCACAGUUCUUGUCAUUCUGGCAAAAAAGCUGCAGAGAACUUCAGUGAAGCCGUCCUGAAGCUGGCCGCCCCGCUGUGGGUGACGCUGAGACUCCCUGACAGCCAUAUAAAUAAUCAAUAAGACCACACUCCUGCUGCUGUGUGCAUUUUCACCAGAAGCUCCUUUGGACGACCUCAUAUGUGUGGAGUUCAAGCGUGCAGACGUCACACCAAACGGUUUGCUGUCAGGCCCUCGAGUUGUAAAUCAUGGACGAAGAGAGAAAAAUAUGUCAUGCAAUAAAACAAUAAAAUACAUCAGAAUGAAGCUGUGGAGUCAGAAAAUGAAGAUUCAUAUUUUGUAUUUGCAAAAAGGCUCUUGUUUGUCACUAAUGAUCAGGGGUGUGCCAAAAUAUUGAUAUUCCGAGAUAUCGCGAUAUUUAGUCCUGGUUCUCAGCAAGUAUCGAUGUUUUGUCUUCAUUUGAAGAUGCUGUAAAACAUUGUAUUCGUCGUCUUUCGACUGCCUGUCGUGAGGACCGAUGUGCCUGCCAGCUAGUUGAAUAUUUAAUUUUUGUUCUUUUGUUUACGACAAGUUUGCACUAAAUAGUAGCACUGCUGUUCGUGUUUACUAUUGUUAAUAUAGAAUUUAAAAGAUAAUUCCAAUUCAAUUGGUGUCAAUUCUUGUCAAAAUAUCACUGAUUUGCACAAUAGUGCAUGUUAUUUGUUGCACAAAAUAAGACACACAUUAUUUAUUGUGUGAAUGUUUAGUAAACAUUCACACUAUUGGGAUUCUCCUGCUCCUUU